AUUGUGACGUUGUGAGCUGAUGUAAGAUGAAGGAUCCCAAGAAAGUGCUUGAAAGCAUAUUGUGCACUCCUGUAACUCAUAUUUCUUGAAAAUGUCAACUUCAGUUAAAUAUGGAACUCUUUAACUUUCGUUUGUUCUACGAAUUUUAUGGAACUGUUAAUUUCAUGUACCAUGUCCCAGGAUUAUGGUUGAAACCAAAUGGAAUCCUGUUGGUAGUAUUUGAAGAAUAGGGAGUGUGACUCGAUAGGAAUUUCUUUGGUUAGAAACUCAAGCUUAGCUUGAAAAGAAGAGGCAAAAGAUAGAGACAGUGCCUAUUCUUGAAGAAUACCCAAAUGCACUAUGUGCUGCCAGCUAUAGCUGCUUGAAUCCAGAUUUAUACCACCACAGCUUUCGUCUUUCUAGCUAGCUCAACAAUGUAAUAGUAUAACUUUUGUUCUAUAAAUGAAUGUGCAUAAUAUGAAGUCCG